UGCUUCUUUACCUAUGCUUUUGCAUUCCUGCUUCGCUAAGCAGUGUAACUGGAAGUUGAAUAGGAUUUUUAAAACAAGUAGAGGCAUUCAAGUUAUCUCACAAAAUCCUGCACCACCAUUGCAAGAAGCCCUUUAAUUGUCAAUCUGCUAGCCAUCAGUCUAUGAACUAAUCAGCUUAUACUCCCAUAAGGCACAGAAAUUGUAUGUAAUGACAUGACCCAGUAGCCAAAAAUCAUGCGCAAGGUUGCUUCGCUUGCGCUGUGGUGACCCAAUGGAGAAUACAGCUUUCAUAGGUGGGUGUCUUCAAUUUUUUGUUUUGUAGGAAAGAAAGAACCCAGAAAGCACCAAUAAUAGCAUCUUCAAAGGCAUUUCCACUGCCACAAAUCAGAAUGAUCUAGGUAUGUGUCUACGAGAAAAGAGGCAAUUUCCAGACUUCAACCUUUAGCAACUUUCACACAACUUGUGACCAUGUGUCAUAGGAUGAUGUUCACAGGAUCUUCCAUGCAGUGGCUGAAGAACAGAGUGCCUUACAGACUCCGUGAGUCACAGGACUGUAUUUUUGAAGGAGAAGAUACUAAGGGUGAAUAUCUGGAACUCUGUCACCUGGACACUUUCUUUCCUUCCCAGGGAUCUUUCUUGCCAGUGAAAUAUUAGAAGCUAGCAAAGUCAUUCCAGUGACCCCACGAGUGGGUGGAAGAGGUACGUGAAAAUUAAAUGAAUUAUUUGGAAGCUUCUCUGGAUGCUUCUUAUUUUCCUGUGGGGAGGAAGGACCUAACAUAGUCCGGUGCUAUUUAUUUUUUCCUCCUUAAUUGGUUUCAAGAAGAUUUAUCAACCAUUUCUGUCCAAGCAAUGUGCUAACGCAUACAGUACCACAUGAAUUCAUUACAUUCCCCAAAAGACACAGGGUGAAACUUUGAGCUUUGCAACUGUGGGGUUCUCUUGCCCUGUCUAAUCAUUCAAUGAAGCAAUUGCUUCCCUGUGCUUUGAAAAUAGCUGUCAAAAUGUUCUUGGGGCUGCUCACCUAGUAGGUUCAAAUUACCUCAUGCUUUAAAUGAUCACUUCUCCUGCUUCGUUGAUGCUCUAAGUGUGACACCAAAUGACGUUCUGAAAAGGAGUGAGCAUUUCUCAGAAGGUUAAUCACUUUGCUGGCAUGGGGCUUUAGGGAUAAUGGAAAGACAGUGCCAAUCUUGUAAACACAGAUCAGCUUACUCCAAUGUAAUCUCUUCUAUGAACUGGAAAGCUUGGCCACAGAUGAAGAAAGUGAGAUACAUAAGAAAAGUAAUAAAUACUCAGAUCUUAGCGAAGUGCUGUUGUAA
rnacentral:lncRNA from 1 species